rnacentral:tRNA from 1 species
GCGGAAAUAGCUCAAAGGUAGAGCGUUGCCUUGCCAAGGCAAAGGUUGGGGGUUCAAAUCCCCUUUUCCGCU